UCAUAUGCUUGUCUUAAAGAUUAAGCCAUGCAUGUCUAAGUAUAAGCUUUUAUACGGCUAAACUGCGAAUGGCUCAUUAAAACAGUUAUAGUUUAUUUGAUGGUCUUUACUACAUGGAUAACCGUGGUAAUUCUAUGGCUAAUACAUGCGCACAUGCCUCUUCCCCUGGAAGGGCAGUGUUUAUUAGAUACAGAACCAACCCACCUUCCGGUGGUCCUCAGGUGAUUCAUAGUAACCGAACGGAUCGCGUUGACUUCGGUCUGCGACGGAUCAUUCAAGUUUCUGACCUAUCAGCUUUCGACGGUACUGUAUUGGACUACCGUGGCAGUGACGGGUAACGGGGAAUUAGGGUUCGAUUCCGGAGAGGGAGCCUGAGAAACGGCUACCACAUCUAAGGAAGGCAGCAGGCGCGCAAAUUACCCAAUCCUGAUUCAGGGAGGUAGUGACAAGAAAUAACAACACUGGAAAUUUCAUUUCUAGUGAUUGGAAUGAUAGGAAUCCAAACCCCUUUCAGAGUAACAAUUGGAGGGCAAGUCUGGUGCCAGCAGCCGCGGUAAUUCCAGCUCCAAUAGCGUAUAUUAAAGUUGUUGCAGUUAAAAAGCUCGUAGUUGGAUUUCUGCUGGAAGCAGCCAGUCCGCCCUCAGGGGUGUGCACUUGGUGAAUUCUAGCAUCCUUCUGGAUUUCUCCACACUUCAUUGUGUGGAGUUUUUUCCAGGACUUUUACUUUGAGAAAAUUAGAGUGUUUCAAGCAGGCUUGUCGCCUUGAAUACUGCAGCAUGGAAUAAUAAGAUAGGAUUUCGGCCCUAUUUUGUUGGUUUCUAGGACUGAAGUAAUGAUUAAUAGGGACGGUUGGGGGCAUUCGUAUUUAACUGUCAGAGGUGAAAUUCUUAGAUUUGUUAAAGACGAACUACUGCGAAAGCAUUUGCCAAAGAUGUUUUCAUUAAUCAAGAACGAAAGUUAGGGGCUCGAAGACGAUCAGAUACCGUCGUAGUCUUAACCAU